rnacentral:rRNA from 1 species
GGCGGUCUCCGGCCGUCCGAGUUGUAAUCUAGAGAAGUGUUAUCCGCGCUGGACCGUGUACAAGUCUCCUGGAAUGGAGCGUCAUAGAGGGUGAGAAUCCCGUCUUUGACACGGACUGCCAGGGCUUUGUGAUGCGCUCUCAAAGAGUCGAGUUGUUUGGGAAUGCAGCUCAAAAUGGGUGGUAAAUUCCAUCUAAAGCUAAAUAUUGGCGAGAGACCGAUAGCGAACAAGUACCGUGAGGGAAAGAUGAAAAGAACUUUGGAAAGAGAGUUAAACAGUACGUGAAAUUGCUGAAAGGGAAACGCUUGAAGUCAGUCGCGUUGGCCGGGGAUCAACCUUGCUUUUGCUGGGCGUACUUUCCGGUUGACGGGUCAGCAUCAAUUUUGACCGUUGGAUAAAGUCUAGGGGAAUGUAGCAUCUUCGGAUGUGUUAUAGCCCUUGGUCGCAUACAACGGUUGGGAUUGAGGAACUCAGCACGCCGCAAGGCCGGGUACUUGUACCACGUUCGUGCUUAGGAUGCUGGCAUAAUGGCUUUAAUCGACCCGUCUUGAAACACGGACCAAGGAGUCUAACAUGCCUGCGAGUGUUUGGGUGGAAAACUCGGACGCGUAAUGAAAGUGAAAGUUGAGAUCCCUGUCGCGGGGAGCAUCGACGCCCGGACCAGACCUUUUGUGACGGAUCCGCGGUAGAGCAUGUAUGUUGGGACCCGAAAGAUGGUGAACUAUGCCUGAAUAGGGUGAAGCCAGAGGAAACUCUGGUGGAGGCUCGUAGCGAUUCUGACGUGCAAAUCGAUCGUCAAAUUUGGGUAUAGGGGCGAAAGACUA